rnacentral:rRNA from 1 species
GACAGAGGUGCCGAGCGUUAGGCGGAAUCACUGGGCUUAAAGCGUGUGUAGGCGGACUUGUAAGUACCUUGUGAAAUCCCACAGCUCAACUGUGGAACUGCUUGGUAUACUGCUUGUCUUGAGCCACUUAGGGGCAGUCGGAGCAGACGGUGGAGCGGUGAAAUGCGCAGAUAUCGGGAGGAACACCCGUAGCGAAGGCGGCACUCUGGGCCGGAACUGACGCUGAGGAGCGAAAGCGUGGGGAGCAAACAGG